GAUGAAGAACGUAGUGAAAUGCGAUAAGUAAUGCGAAUUGCAGAAUUUCCGUGAGUCAUCGAAUCUUUGAACGCACAUUGCGCCCACUGGUAUUCCGGUGGGCAUGCCUGUUCGAGCGUCAUUAUCCUCCCUCAAACCCCGGGUUUGAUGUUGGACCGAAGUUGUGUGAACAACUGGUCUAAAAAACAAUGACGGCGUCCGUGGGACCCUCGGUGCAACGAGCUUUUAGGAGCACGCGCCGAGUUGCAAGGACCUUCCGGGCCGGUCUCCUUUUACUAUUUUACAAGGUUGACCUCGGAUCAGGUAGGAAUACCCGCUGAACUUAAGCAUAUCAAUAAGCGGAGGA
rnacentral:misc_RNA from 1 species